rnacentral:RNase_P_RNA from 2 species
UCACGUCGUCGGGCGGCCGCGUCGGGAGCAAUCCCGCCGAGGAAAGUCCGGGCUCCACGGAACGCGGUGCCGGGUAACACCCGGCGGUUCUGGCCUUCGGGCCGGAAUCAGGGACAGUGCCACAGAGAAGAGACCGCCGAUGGGCCCGGAUCAUCUCCGGGAGACAGGCAAGGGUGAAACGGUGCGGCAAGAGCGCACCGCGCGAUGGGCAACCAAAGCGGCACGGCAAACCCCACCGGGAGCAAGACCGAAUAGGGAUGGCGCGCAGGGCUUCGGCGCUGCAGGGCAGGAACCGGCCCAGCCAUCCGGGUUGGUUGCUGGAGGCGGCGGGCAACCGCCGUCCGAGAGGAAUGGUCGCCCAGGGGGCAUGAGCCCCUGGACAGAACCCGGCUUACAGACGGCGUGAUCGC